CGAAAGAAUUUUCGAAAUAGUUGUUGCAAGAUUUUAUCUUUUUAGAUUUCUGUUGAAUAACUUUUAUGGAAAUUUCGUGAUUUUUUUUUCUUUUUUUUUCUUUCGAUUGUUAAGUAGAAUAUCAUGCAAAAUUGUUUUUGAGAUUUAGAAUUGGACGUGUAAUGAAUCGUAUUUGGAGUUAUUGUUGCGUUCAAUUAUAAUGAAUUCACGAAAAAGGAUUUUUGAAAAUAUUGCAAGAUUUCAUGUUUUUGUAUUAUUGCUGAAUACUAUAAAUUUUUCAUCGAAGCUGGACGAAUCGUUUUCAAGAUUAAAAAUAAAAAAUCGAAUCGAAGAAAAAUUUCCUCUUUCAUCCUCAUCUUUUAUUUAAUUUUUAUCGUUGGGACAGUUUUGGAAUUGUUGACUAACUAUGUCACGUUUUUGAAGAUCGUGGGAAGAUUUAAGAAGAUCUUUGGCACGAGAAUGUUGGCUAGACUCUUCGAUGGGUUCAAGUAGGACGUGAGAAUGUGAUCGUUGUGGUGGAUUUAUGUGGGAUCUUUGAUUUGCUGGUGUUGGAGAUUUGUCUUACAAUUUGUAAGAUGUGUUGGGACGCUUUAAAAAUUUGUAUCUCGCAUCUUAAAUUUAGCACUAGGAAAGUAGUGAACCCACGACUUGCUGAAGUGAUUUAUAUCGGAGCCACGUAUCGAAGAAACGUAAAAUAAUUGACAAAGAUCAACCCAUCAUCAAAAAACACACACAAAAAAAAAAGACGAUAAAUUUUAUAAUUAUACGUUUAUAAAAAGGAUAUAACGAAUCGUAUCCUAUUUUGUCGAUCUCCUCUUCAAAAUUUACGAGACAAUUUUUUAACGAGCGUCACUCAGCACCAACAAUAUCAAAGCGGAAACCGACUAAUUUUAAAAAUUAUUCCAAAGCUACUUUUCUCGCCAGAAAAAAAUGCAACGUUCGCCGACCGAUUCCCCUUAAAUUUCGGGCCUCGAGAAAAAAUGCGUUAAUCUGCAGAAAAAUAAGCCCACAUGAGAGGAAGGAAUUACGGUAAUCGCGGUCUAAGAGGAAUUGCGAAAACGUUUCAAACGAUCUCAGCGUUGCCCUGUUGUGCAAAAAUUUCGUCAGCCGAUAUGCCCAUGUUUCGUGAUAAUUUCCAGACAUUACCAGGAAAACUCGUUACCAGCGCCAGACGGUUGUUUUAGACGAUCGGCCAAGAUUAAGUUACCGAAUUAAUUCUUGCUGGGGAUAUAUCAUUGAUCGAUCACGAUUACAAGAAUUGAUCAAGCUGAACGUAUAGAGGAAAAAGUUACUUGAGAAAUAAUACCCUUAAUUAAGUUCGAUAAUAACGCGAAGUCUUUGUCCGUCUUAUUAAACGUUAUUACUAUCCGAUAUUUUCGUUAUUCUUAUUUCCACACGAACUAGUUUUAUCUUUCGUAUUAUUCUCUCUUUUCAACAUUGUGCACGAGUUUCUUAAUUAAAUUUCACUUAAAAGAUUAAAAGAAACAGGAGACCACUAAUAUUGGAUAUUUGAUUGUUUCGUAAGGCAGAUUAAUUCUCGUAGAUAGCGAGCAACGUUAACAUCACUGCUGUGUUAAACAAAGAUACGCCACGUGACCAAUCAAAGGCAACGUCGCAUCAUGCCACGCGACGUGCCUCUAAUGUAGCAAUAAAUAGCGUGACGUCAUAGCUGUAUUAGGUAAGGGUAUGUCACAUGACUAAACUCUACCAAUGGUAAGCAUCGCAUGCGUCACGUGACGCCUCUGCCUAACGCAGCAGUGGCAAUGGGGAUCAUGUAUUCUUCUUCUAUUAAAAAUCGAGUUACUUUUUCUUUUAAGAUUCUCUACUACUAAAAUUCUUUAGCUAAUUCUCUUCAUCAAAAAAAAAAAUAUCUUAAUGUCUAAUUCGAGGAAGUGAAUCGAAAUAUCAACGAGUUAUCCACUCUUUCACGAAUUAUUCUUGAUCGUACUCGGAACGUAAUCGAUCCCAUCUCCACCUUCGAUAAUAAGCUGUGAAAAAGAUGCGCGAAGAGGAUCGUGUGUCUUUAAUCGCGAUAGAUUUCACGCGGCUUGUCUCGAUUUAUCCGUACCGAUCCGCCGUUACGAGUAAAUGCGAAUCUAUUUACUCGUCAUGCAGAUGACCGGUAGCCGGUCUCUUUCGUUUCCUUCCCUCCUCGUCCUAACACUUCUCCCUUCCUCUCCUCCCCUUGGUUGCCAAGUUUCAUUACGGCGAUAAAUUGCUGCCGAUGAGGCUUAAAAGUAGGAGGGAGAGGCUUGUGAACGAAUCGAACCGAUUUGUCGUUUCACGCGUGCUUUCUACUUAACGGACGGAAGAUUUAUUUAUUUAUUUAUUUAUUUUUUUUUUUUUUGCUUCGUGGAAUAUGAUCCUUUGGACAGAGGUAUUGGAUUCGAGAGUAUCCAUCCUUUUCGAAAAAUUUCCUUUACUUUAGAGAUGUUAAUUUUUCAAAUUUACUUCGCGCAAAGAGGGGAGAUCGAUCGUGAAGAUAGAUUCGAUAAAUCGGGACAUGUUUCUCAUACGAUACGAUGAUUGUCGAUUAUUGACGAGAAGACAAUUGAACACGAUCGUGGUCGAACUAACAAAACCGAUAAUCGGACCUCCACCAUUGAUCGCGAGCUUCGUAGAACCAGUUGCUAUCUCCGUAAUGGCGUUUAGCCAUCGUUAAACAGGCGAAACAGGGAUAAGCCUGCGGAGCCAUUUGUAAAGUCAACCGCAAUUUCUCCGGCGUUGAUUACACGUCGUUAGGCCGGGUGAAAUCAAGUUAACGUAUCGAGUACGGUGUACGCUGGGAACCCGAUAUCAAUUUCUCCUCGGUUAAAUGGCAAUCGAUUCGCGAACGAACGAUUCGAGAAACGGAAACUGGACUCUCGACUGGAAACGAAGAUAUAACUGGAAAAGGCAGAGGCAAGGAGCACCGGGAUCGUUCGUUUUCGUAAAAUCUCUUCAACGAUAGGCGAUCCUUGUUAUCGAUCCGUGGAAAUACUAAUCGAGGCUAGCGCGACUUCGAAAGUGAUUCGUCACUCUCAUUCUCUCGUUCGUCCAAUUAACUUUAUCGCCGCUCGCGGUUACCACGGCGACGGUAGUGGGAGGAGGGGGAAGUAGCGAGCGAGGCAACGGAAAGGUAUGAAAAUAGCAGUGCUCGCGCUGCUCGAACACCGCCAUUAGACGAGUAAACUUUAGACAGAAUCGAAAAAGCAAGUUGUUGUUAUUCCGGUCGUUUCGCUUUCCACCGCCAUCCUCGCUACAAUGCCCGCGACUAUUUUCUACUCUGCAAUUGCCGGCAAGUACGGGGUCAGCAUUCUAGCUUCUCUACCGGGCCUAUUACGUUUUCCCUUUGCUCGCAACCGAUCGUGAGGAAACUGGUGAUCACCGCGCUUAUAUACCGACGAUCCAACGAAAAAAGGAUAAUCCGGGGGGGGGAGUAAAAGAAGGAGAAGGGGGAAAGCGAUCGAAAGCGAUCCUCGCUGCGGUGUGUGACCAGAAUGCUCGAUUAUCGAAUCUCCGAUAGGGGCGGUGAGCAUCGAGGAUACGAGUUUCCUCGAGACGAGGCCGUAAUCUCUAUUAAUUACCGGCGGCGGCGGCGCGCGCGCGCAUAAAUCAAUCGGGAAACGGAGAUAAAGGUGGCAACACGGGCCGAGAACUGGAGGAGGAAGGAAGAAAAACAGGUCCCGGAUGGUGGAGGGGCGAAACUGGCCGCGUUUUCGUGAGUCAUACUCUCCUCGUUAGAAGCUUGCUCCGACGCGCGCAACCCCCCUCGUUCUCUCCUUUCCUUUGUCUCGAGAAUUAACAACGAGAAAUAAUACAAGGGAACCUCGUGCUUAUCCACAAUUUCGUCAUUUUUCCUUCGUGCACCGACAUUCCUUCUCUUUCUGAUUAUCGUAUUAAUUAAUCGACGGAUGUUUCGUGAAUUUGGAGAAGUACUUCGCACCGUAUCGAUCGAUACAUAUCAUAAAAAAUUAUCACGUUUACGUGUUAACGCCACGUCUUCGCUAUAUAAUUCGUAUUAAUUAAUCGAUGUUUCGUGAAAUUUCGAGUAGCGCCUCGUAUCGAUCGGUGUACAUUGUAAGGAUAAACCCUUGCUCUUUACGGCCUAUUAUCGCGCAAUUAUCACAAUUGAACACCGUCUUAACGCCAACUUCGCUAUGCUCGAUCAUCGAUCGCGACUUUAUUCCCAUAGAUCCGCGUUGCGCGCGCACCGAAACGCUCCUUGGCAUCCUUGUUCAAUAGCGCUGAACCACUGAUUUUAAAUGGCCGCGCUCACUCCCGGCUAUUUAUCAUCGUUAUCAUCGAUUUUUUUUCCCGAUCCCUUUUUUCCCCCCUCCUUCAACCGGUUGCAAGGUAUCGCGUUUCACGGGUAGGAAGGCCGAAAUAUCAGCGCGUUUCCUCCUUUCUUUUUUUCUCUUUUUCCACUCCUUCCCUUCCAUCGACAAAUUACCCCUCGUUUCUUCGGCGCACCGGAUAAACAUAUCAGCGUCGGCAGGUAGCCAAGUUGGAAUAGAAAAUUCGAUUCUUUUCAACGCUCUCGGUUAAUUUAGUCCCUUCUUUUCUUCCCCCUUUUUUCUUAAAAACGCAAAUGCGCUUAAAAGUAGAGUAGAGGGAGGGAGGAGAGAAAAAGAGUGGCAGCAAUUGCAAGGCCUCGAUUUCAUCAUCGCGCUCGACAUAAAUCUGGUGGUCAUAAACGCGGCUUAUUAUUUUCGCAUUACAAACUGCGCAAAAUGGCGGAAACCGGGGCUCCUUAAGAGCGUUGAGACAUUGGGAGGCCGACGUUUCUCCGAACUCGUUCGAAUUAUUGCGUCGAUAUAAUAAUAGCCGAGCCACCGAGCUACACGCACGCACACACACACACAGCCGAGCGACACACGCACGCGCGCGUAUGGAAACCCGUUUAUUACGCAAAUUUUUAUAUUAUUUUUCUGUGUAAGCCCGAGAUAAAAUAAACUUUCAAUUAAUGACACGUGAUAACGUAUUUCGUAUUAUAUCUGACGGGGAUCAUUGGUAUGACAGACAGUUACAUUGCGCGACAAUCUGAUAAGAAAGGCUGGAAAUCGUAAGAAAACGAUUUUUAAUGAUUUUAUUCAUCGAGCAUGAAACCUGGCCCUUUUUAUCGCCUGCGCCAGAACACUUUCAGUUAAGAUACGAUCUGCUUUUUAAAAUUUAUUAGAACCGCGCUCCUAUCCAUAUCGAACGCAGAAGGCAUUCUUACGAUGUUUUCAACGGUCGCGCUCAACCGUUCGCAAGUAUAGGGCAAGUAUAUUAAUUGCGAUUCAUUCGUACGGCGGAUUUAUUCGUUACAUCUCGAAAAUCUUGUCCGUGCAAUUACAAGUUUGUAUCGUCACCCAAUUCCUGUGUAAACUACUCUUUUUUUAAUUUUUUUUCUUUUCAGAAAAUCCACGUAUCUAUAUACUAUUUUCAUAAUGUAAAGAAAGUUAUUCUAUCGUAAUCAAGAUAUCCUUUUCUAUCUUUCCAAUAAGAAAGAAAAAUUUUUAAUUUUUCCCUAUUUUUUCCUACAUAUUUUCAUACAAGGGAUGUAAAGAAAAUUAUUCGAUCAAUUAAAGAUAUUCUUUUCUUUCAAGAAAGAAGAAGUAUAUUUUGUUAAUUUUUUCCUAUUUUUUUAUACACAAUUUCAUAGGAAUAAUGAAGAAAAUUCGAUUAUUGUCACGAUCAAAGUAUCCUUUUCUUCCAGAAGAGAAAAAAAAAAAAAAAAGAAAAAAAAUCGUUAAUUUUUCAGAUUUUACACUAUUCUUUUAUUUUCGUAGGAAUAAUACAAAGAAAGUUAUUCGAUCAUUAACAUAAUCAAGACAUCCUUUUCUUCCAAGAAAAAGAAAAAAAAAAAAAAUGAAUCCUGUUAGUUUUCAGAUUUUUCACUAUUCUUUUAUUUUCGUACGAAAAGAUAAUAUAAAGAAAUCGAUCAUUAACAUAAUCAAGACAUCCUUUUCUUCUAAAAAAGAAAAAAAAAAAAGAAAAAGAAUCCCGUUAAUUUUUCAGAUUUUCCACUAUUCUUUUAUUUUCGUAAAGGAAUAAUACAAAGAAAGUUAUUCGAUCGCUAACAUAAUCAAGACAUCCUUUUCUUCCAAGAAAAAGAAAAAGAAAAACGAAUCCCGUUAAUUUUUCAGACAUAUACUACUUUCUCUACCGAUCCACCCUUCGCAAAGUAGGAUCGAAGAACCGUUAGCACGGAUUACACCACGACUUUCCGCAUCCUAUUUUGCAACAAGUUCGAUAUUUCAAGAUUAUCUACCUCGUGUCUCGAAAUUACAGUGUCCAAAGCCUCCUCGAAGCCAUGCCGUGGCCGCGAUCACUCGGAGAAAACUGGUCGCCUAGCGAUAUAUAUUUUAAUAAUACCCCGCGCGAGAGGAGAUCGCGUUAGCCCUGAAGAUAGGUGGGAAGGUAUCGAUACGAAACAGCCGAGAAAUCGAUGGAGAUCUUGUUUCUCGGCUGCGAAAGGGAAUCGUAAUAAUGAUUGGCCGCGAGAGAAAUCAUAAGCUCGAACUCGAUCGGUGGUGGGCUUCUAAGCCGCUUAAGAGGACGAUGUCCUUCUCUUCGAUCUCGUGACAAAACCACGUUUGGGAUUACCCUCCAACUCGCGUCGAGAAAUUCUUUACGCGUGUAACGUCACCGAUCCUUCCAAUUUUUCUUUCUCAUUGCUCCCUUUUUUUCAGGAUGCGAGAGUACAGUUUGUUGAAAAAGAGCGAAAUUUGGGUUCCAAAAAUGAGAAAUUAAUAAACUUUUCUGAAAAUUAUCGAGUUGAAGUGUCCGGGAAGAUUGGAAUUUUAUCACAGUUCCUUCCUUAAAUUUCUAUAUUUUUUACCAUCUUCAACUUUAAAAUUUCCCCGAUUUUUCGAAUCCUUAAUUCAACAUUAAAAGUUCUAAUUUAUCCGAUCUAUCACCGAUCCAUCCAUAUGGAAAAGAGGAGGAAAAACGUGGAGAAACGAGAGAUGGAUGGAUAAGUUUCACGGGUGGAGGCUCGGUGUGCAAUCAGUCGGCCAAGGUUGGCCCGUGGUCAGCUGUUCGAGCGAGAAGACUGGUGGAUGUAUGCGGCAAGAGGGGGAGAGAGAGAGGAGAUAGAAAAAAAGGAGGAAGAAACGGCGGAUGGCGGAGGCAGGGAGAGGAAAAAAGGGACCCACCGGUCGUCGAGGUUGCACCUGCCACGUCGUGGCGCGGCCGUACAAGGCCGACGAUCCCGAAGAAACUCGAGGCGGAGGAGCGACGAGCAACGCUCGAGUCUCUCGCCUUAAGCGGCGUCUCUCCCUCGAAAUCACGAUCGAUCGAUCGAUCUUGAGAUUCCCCUGGAAUCGCGGCGCGCAGACCCGCGAAGCCGAUGUCAGCGCGAUCGACAUUGAAUUUCAUACAACGAGCUGCCACCGGGAACUCUUCCCUUUUUCCACUCCGCGCCUCUUAUUUCCCUUUUUUCUUUUUCCUUUCACCGAGCGAAGAAAGGAUUCCUUUCGACGAAUUCGAACGGAGGAAGGGAUUCUUCGAUUAAUAAGCGGAGAAUUCGAAUUCUUUUUUUCUUUUUUUUUCUUUUAAUUGUCGAAUUUAGAGAUUGAAAGCUGUAUUUAACGCGAGUUAAUUCGCGAUAGGUUAAUUAAUUUUCAUGAAAUUUCGUUGUACGCGUGUUGAAGUAAUAGUUGAUUACAUUUUUUUCCUCUUAAUACGAUCGAAUGUUUCUUAACAUGUUGAUUAAAUUUCCAGUUCAUAAGUGAAUUAAUUCAGUGAAAUUAAAGCAUCGAAGUCGAACAAUAAACAGAUCUUUGAAUUAUUGAAGUCAUUUUAAAAUAUGAUGUAAUUAAUUUCUGAAUCUAUAUAUAUGUAUCUCGAGAGAGAUAAAUGUCCAACAUAGAACCUCAUUAACGAUAUUAUUUCCUUCUUUUAUAUCAAUACUUAAUUUAGUAUUCUUUUAUUUGAAAUUAAGUUUGAAAUUUGUUAGCUUGAAAAAUUUUCAAAUUCAUCUCUUAGUAUAUUUGUUAAUUUUGAUUUAGAUCCUAACUAACUUUUAUAUUUUAUGUUGGAAAAUUAUUCUAAAAAAAAAUACUGUGAAUAAUUGCAUUCUUGAGUUGAAAAAGGAAUUGGAAGAUUGUUCGACACGAGUUAAGAAUCGCAGUGGUAAAACUCGCGAGAUGGAGGACAAAGAAAAAAAAAUUAUUGCGAAAGAACGUAUUUCUCAUCUCUGAAAUUUCCAAUUCCCUUGAUUCAUCGUAAAACGUUUCGCGCCACUUAAUUUCCGCACCGAUAACUGAUCUCCGUUGGUAUUCGCACGGUUCGCGAGAAUAGAUCGAGAGAGAGAGAGAGAGAGAGAGGGGGGGAAAUUGGAAUCACGAUCGAUCGAUCGAAACGUGAUUUUACGCGCGUGCGUACCAACUUAUGCUUUACGCGAUGCAAUACGUUGCUAAUUAACGCGGAAUUAAUUAAAAACGAAUAACAAGGCCAAAGAUCGGCUCCAAGCUCCGAGAUUAUGCGAGAUUAUUGUGAAAUAUUCCAAGGUCGAUGUAAACGAGAUGAAGAAAAAGAAAGAAUUCGUGGAGAAAUAAAAAAUUUCGUUUUAUAUGUUGUGUUUCUUGAUAUAUUUCGAAAAAAUCGAUUAUGCGAAGGAUUUGUAGUUCAAUCAGUUCAAUUCACAUUCUUUGAAAAUAUUGACGAAAAUUUUCCAAUACGAAUGAAUUAAUUAUAAAUCGAAAUAUUCUUACACGUUUUUCUAUCUAACUGAUCGAAUAAUAAUCGAAUAAUAAUUAUCGAGGAAUUUUGUGCAAAUACUCGACGCGUAUUGAGUAAGAUUUGUUUAAAACAGGUAAAUGAGUCAUUACUUGUACGCGGAAUAACAUUUUCGAGUCGACAGUGGAAAAAGAUAUUUAAUUAUAACUGAUGUAAUUUAAUAACGUGAAUCGAAAUAAUUGCAAAAACCUCCGUUUUUUUUCUAACUACACGAGUAUUAAUGCAAAAUAUAAAAACAUAUCUACAAAUAACUUUCAUUAACAGACACUGGUUCUUUAAUGCAAUUACAAAAAAAAAAAAAAAAUACAAAGAAUGUGGAUAUAAAGUAAGGAUAUAAUAAGCGAGCAAAAUAUCCAUAUAUCGAACACACGUAUAAAAACUAUAUCUGAUGCAAUGAUCUUUCGAAUACACGGUUAAUAGCAUAAAGAUAAAAGAAGUCAAUUUUCACGUACCGAAAAGAAAAAUGGGAGAAAAAACUCGAGGCGAAGUUCCACGAGAGCAAGCAAGCAGCUUCGCGCUAGCAGCAUUCGAUCUCCAUGAUCCGGGCAAAGACACGAGAAGUCCGUCGCUGAAAAACGUCAGAUCCCAUCAGCUAUGCGGCUAGUACGGCUCAUCAGCAAGGCGGAACGAUCGCGAGAGAUCGCGAUCGAAGCGAGUCACGCCGCGAUUCGUCGUCGUCGUCGUCGUCGUCGUCUUCGUCUUCGUUCUCGUCGUCCUCAUUUUCCUCGUCAUUCUCGUCAUCGUCGUCGUUCCCAAGCGGAGCGGAGAGAAACGCGCUCGUGCACGCUUAGCAGCAGCCGACCGAGAUCCCAGAGAUCGGAGAUCGUGUUCGCUUUGCGAUGCCGCCGACUCGUUACCAGAUCGUUCUCGCAUCUCCUUCUCAUCUCGCCACGCAUGCGCUUCUGCCGACCAUCUCUCCAUGCUUGUACUAUAUACCGCGUGGAAAUGGCGAGAGAUUGGCGGAUUUUAGCAAAGUGUUCAUGGUUGACUGGAUCUUGUCGAGGAUACGCGGAUGAUUAUUCGUCGAGAAAAAUGUCGGGAUAACUCGCGAACGUAUGAAAAAGAGAAGAAGUUUGGUUAUGUGCAAGAUGACCGAUCACUUUGGACGAGGUUUAAUAAACGGGUAUAUGCAAAAAGAUUUAUGCGAAUCGUGAGCAACAGUUUUGAGGAUAAAUUGAAGAAAUAAGUCUCGACAGAGGUUGAUUUGACGAGAAAACGAGUAUUGGAAAGGGAUUCGAGAGAAUCGAUGUGUGUUUAUGCGUCGGUAAAGGAUGAGACAAGAGUAUCGAUGAAUGUUCGUGAAUUUUGUGAUCGUGCUGAAUGUGCAAAUUCUCCUUCUCUGCGAGAAAUGAGAUUGAAGAUAUAUACAAGAAUCGAAGGUAAUUAUAUAGAAACGUUCGUUACAUGUGAAUAGCACUUAUAAACAAAAUGUCAAAAGCAAAUGUAAAUAUGCUGAUGUGCUUUUGUGCAGAAAUUGUAAGAAAUUGGAAAACAAAUUUUCUUUAUUAUAUUAUUCCAGUUGCACUUUCGAGUUAACGAAUUCGAAUGAACAUAAUCUUCGAAUUCCUUUUAUUUAUCGCUUAACCUAACCUAACCUAAUUUAACCAAAUCAAAACCCAAAAUUUCCGCACGAAAAUAUACGUAUUAUUGAAUUCCUCUUACAAGAUCUAUCUACUUUAGAUAAAAUGAAACGAAACCUUCAAAAAAAUCAAUGGACAAAGAUGUAGUGAACAAAUUGCGAAUCGAAACUCGAAAAAGAAUAAUUCGCGACGAACGUUCAUUUCGAUUCGCCGUAAACAUUUAGCGAAGCAAUUCCAAUUUCACGGUAUAAAUCUCGACCGUAGCUGUGAAUUGUCUUGUGAAUUUUCUCUAAAUUCGAGCGUUUCCGCGUGGAAUUGGGAGGUCAAACGCACUAUUGUAAAUCGGCUUCGUUGGAAAAAUGAUGGUGAAGGUGAUUUACCACCUUAAUACAUUCGGGCAUAAUUCGUUCCGUGGACAGUAGUAACUAGGCAGGUCGGUAACGGUUUACGCGAAAAGGAGUUAUCCCCGCGAUAAUCGUGAGCGCGGUUGGUGAAAAAUCGUUUUGCGGAGGCCGCGCGUAAUAUUUUCGUCUGCCCGUUCGACGAAGGAGGGACGAAGCUAUGCGGCGAAUUCGAAAAAGCGCCGUGAACACGGUGGCGAGUAUUAAAUGCCUUAUCGCGCUCAAAGUCCCGCGGCAAGCCUUAAUAUUCAAGCGUAUCUGGCUUGAUCCUAGCAGCCGUGUCGGCAGAUCGCGUUACACCGAACCUGUCUCGCUAAUUUACCGCCGGUAUUCCUGACUUUCUGUUUUUCUAUGGAGCGUUUCGUGUGAAUUUCGUUGAAUUGUGAUCGAAAAUUUAAGAGUCUCUAAUGCGGAACGAGAUAAAACUAUGCUGCGAGUUUCUGUUUCUUUACUAUUUCUAUAUAUUAAUGACGUAGAAUUGGUUGCGAACGUGCGAGUUUCGGUCGGUUAGUCAAAUUUUGAUAUUCGUGCAAAUUUUUUGUUUUCUAUAAUUUGAUUUCAUGUUCUAUUGUAAACUUUUCCCAAGAAUAUUUUUGAUGUUAAAAUUUUCGUCAAUUUCGAAGUGUUAUAUAAUAUGCAUAUCAACUAUAUCUUUUAAACAGUAAAUUUGUCAUCGAAUAAUACUAAUGUUUGACUAUUGUAUUUAUUAUGUAGUUACGCAGUUUAUAGAUUAGAAAUAUAAAAUCGUGCGAUAAAACAUAUUGCCUAUAUGUUGGAAUUAAAUGUUAACUAUCGUACAACUAUUAUUGAUAAAUUUAACAUUAGUAGAUUUUAAAAGAAUCUUAUCUUAUAAUAAAUAGGUUAAUAAAUUAAACCCGAAGAAAUAGUAUAUUCGUAUCUACUGU